CCUACGGGAGGCAGCAGUGAGGAAUAUUGGUCAAUGGCCGGGAGGCUGAACCAGCCAAGUCGCGUGAGGGAAGACGGCCCUACGGGUUGUAAACCUCUUUUGUCAGGGAGCAAGGUGCAGGUCGGGACCUGCUGUGAGAGUACCUGAAGAAAAAGCAUCGGCUAACUCCGUGGCAGCAGCCGCGGUAAUACGGAGGAUGCGAGCGUUAUCCGGAUUUAGUGGGUUUAAAGGGUGCGCAGGCGGAGGCACAAGUCAGCGGUAAAAUCGCGGGGCUCAACCCCGCUCCGCCGUUGAAACUGUGUCCCUUGAGUGCGCGAAGGGUAGGCGGAAUGCGUGGUGUAGCGGGGAAAUGCAUAGAUAUCACGCAGAACUCCGAUCGCGAAGGCAGCCUACCGGCGCGCAACUGACGCUCAUGCACGAAAGCGUGGGUAUCGAACAGGAUUAGAUACCCGAGUAGUC
rnacentral:rRNA from 1 species